rnacentral:rRNA from 1 species
AGAGUUUGAUCCUGGCUCAGAUUGAACGCUGGCGGCAGGCCUAACACAUGCNAGUCGAGCGGAUGACAGGAGCUUGCUCCUGAAUUCAGCGGCGGACGGGUGAGUAAUGCCUAGGAAUCUGCCUGGGUAGUGGGGGACAACGUUUCGAAAGGAACGCUAAUACCGCAUACGUCCUACGGGAGAAAGCAGGGGACCUUCGGGCCUUGCGCUAUCAGAUGAGCCUAGGUCGGAUUAGCUAGUUGGUGAGGUAAUGGCUCACCAAGGCGACGAUCCGUAACUGGUCUGAGAGGAUGAUCAGUCACACUGGAACUGAGACACGGUCCAGACUCCUACGGGAGGCAGCAGUGGGGAAUAUUGGACAAUGGGCGAAAGCCUGAUCCAGCCAUGCCGCGUGUGUGAAGAAGGUCUUCGGAUUGUAAAGCACUUUAAGUUGGGAGGAAGGGCAGUAAAUUAAUACUUUGCUGUUUUGACGUUACCGACAGAAUAAGCACCGGCUAACUCUGUGCCAGCAGCCGCGGUAAUACAGAGGGUGCAAGCGUUAAUCGGAAUUACUGGGCGUAAAGCGCGCGUAGGUGGUUUGUUAAGUUGGAUGUGAAAGCCCCGGGCUCAACCUGGGAACUGCAUUCAAAACUGACANGCUANAGUAUGGUAGAGGGUGGUGGAAUUUCCUGUGUAGCGGUGAAAUGCGUANAUAUAGGNNGGAACCC